GACGUAGGGCGCGAGCGUUUGUCCGGAUUUAUUGGGCGUAAAGAGCUCGUAGGCGGCUUGUUGCGUCGGCUGUGAAAUCCCGUGGCUUAACUGCGGGCUUGCAGCUGAUACGGGCGGGCUGGAGUUCGGUAGGGGAGACUGGAAUUCCUGGUGUAGCGGUGAAAUGCGCAGAUAUCAGGAGGAACACCGGUGGCGAAGGCGGGUCUCUGGGCCGAUACUGACGCUGAGGAGCGAAAGCGUGGGGAGCGAACAGG
rnacentral:rRNA from 1 species